rnacentral:rRNA from 1 species
UACGAAGGGGGCUAGCGUUGUUCGGAUUUACUGGGCGUAAAGGGCGCGUAGGCGGAUCGUUAAGUCGGGGGUGAAAUCCCGAGGCUCAACCUCGGAACUGCCUUCGAUACUGGCGAUCUUGAGUCCGGGAGAGGUGUAUGGAACUCCUAGUGUAGAGGUGGAAUUCGUAGAUAUUAGGAAGAACACCAGUGGCGAAGGCGAUACACUGGCCCGGUACUGACGCUGAGGCGCGAAAGCGUGGGGAGCAAACAGG